UAGAAUAUAAAAACAGCCACAUUUUCUUAAGCCAAAGCCUAACCCAGAGCAAGAUCCCAACUCUCUUCAGUUCUAUGAAGGUUGAGAGCGGUGAGGAAGGGGCAGAAGAAAAGCUGGAAGCUAGAAAAGGUUGGUUCAUGAGGUUUAAGGACAGAAGCUGUCUCCAUAACAUGUAAGUGCAAGGUGAGGCAGCAAGUGCCGAUGUAGAAGAUGCAGGAAGUUAU